CUCCAGUCUGCAGCUAGACCCUUCUCUGUACAGCUGCAGCAGGACACGGCCAGAGCACUGAGAGAUAUCAGGUAUUGAUGUAACUGGAGUGAAUAAGGGAACCUUCUUCCUGAGCACGGACAUUGGAGCCUAUUAUCAGCAUGAACUCAUAUGUGUUAGACAAUCACUUGAAUAGUUCAUACCCAUCCU